rnacentral:rRNA from 1 species
GUAGGGAAUCUUCCACAAUGGACGAAAGUCUGAUGGAGCAACGCCGCGUGAGUGAAGAAGGUUCUCGGAUCGUAAAACUCUGUUGUGAGGGAAGAACAAGUACCGGAGUAACUGCCGGUACCUUGACGGUACCUCAUUAGAAAGCCACGGCUAACUACGUGCCAGCAGCCGCGGUAAUACGUAGGUGGCAAGCGUUGUCCGGAAUCAUUGGGCGUAAAGCGCGCGCAGGCGGUCCCUUAAGUCUGAUGUGAAAGCCCACGGCUCAACCGUGGAGGGUCAUUGGAAACUGGGGGACUUGAGUGCAGAAGAGGAAAGCGGAAUUCCAAGUGUAGCGGUGAAAUGCGUAGAGAUUUGGAGGAACACCAGUGGCGAAGGCGGCUUUCUGGUCUGUAACUGACGCUGAGGCGCGAAAGCGUGGGGAGCAAACAGGAUUAGAAACCCCUGUAGUCC